CGGAGGGAUCAUUGCUGGAACGCGCCCCAGGCGCACCCAGAAACCCUUUGUGAACUUAUACCUUUUGUUGCCUCGGCGCAUGCUGGUCUCUAGUAGGCCCCUCACCCCGGUGAGGAGACGGCACGCCGGCGGCCAAGUUAACUCUUGUUUUUACACUGAAACUCUGAGAAAAAACACAAAUGAAUCAAAACUUUCAACAACGGAUCUCUUGGUUCUGGCAUCGAUGAAGAACGCAGCGAAAUGCGAUAAGUAAUGUGAAUUGCAGAAUUCAGUGAAUCAUCGAAUCUUUGAACGCACAUUGCGCCCUCUGGUAUUCCGGAGGGCAUGCCUGUUCGAGCGUCAUUUCAACCCUCAAGCAUUGCUUGGUGUUGGGGCACUGCUUUUAACGAAGCAGGCCCUGAAAUCUAGUGGCGAGCUCGCCAGGACCCCGAGCGCAGUAGUUAAACCCUCGCUCUGGAAGGCCCUGGCGGUGCCCUGCCGUUAAACCCCCAACUUUUGAAAAUUUGACCUCGGAUCAGGUAGGAAUACCCGCUGAACUU
rnacentral:rRNA from 1 species